rnacentral:rRNA from 1 species
UUUUAAGCUUUUCAGAGGAAUUUGCUCUUUAAUGGAUAAAACACCAAAAUCUUACUUAAAUUUGUGAUUUCAAUUUGUAUACCACUAUUAAAACAAUUUAUAACUUUAAUUGUUUAAAUUUACAAAACUAAAAUAUAUUAAGUCAAGGUGCAGUAAAAAUUUAAGAAUGAAGUGAAUUACAUUACUUUUUAGUGAUAUAAAUUUAUAACAAUAUUUA